rnacentral:rRNA from 1 species
GAUGAACGCUGGCGGCGUGCCUAAUACAUGCAAGUAGAACGCUGAAGGAAGGAGCUUGCUCUUUCCGGAUGAGUUGCGAACGGGUGAGUAACGCGUAGGUAACCUGCCUGGUAGCGGGGGAUAACUAUUGGAAACGAUAGCUAAUACCGCAUAACAGUAGAUGUUGCAUGAUAUCUACUUAAAAGGUGCAAUUGCACCACUACCAGAUGGACCUGCGUUGUAUUAGCUAGUUGGUGAGGUAACGGCUCACCAAGGCGACGAUACAUAGCCGACCUGAGAGGGGAGGAGGCGACAAUGGGAAAUAGAAACGGGAGAGAAGGCGACGGGAGGCAGCAGGAGGGAGGUAGUGGAGAUGGAUGGAAGGCUGACGGAGCAAGGACGAGGGAGUGAAGGAGGGGGUGGGAGCGUAAAGCCCGGUUGGAAGAGAAGAAAGAGGGUGAGAGUGGAAAGUUCACACUGUGACGGGACCGUACCAGAAAGGGACGGCUAAAUACGUG